ACAACAAAUACAAAAACAGCU
rnacentral:misc_RNA from 1 species